UUACAAGGACAGCGAUUAUUUAUGGCAAAUGUGAUGGUGUUUAAGAGAUGUUUUGCUCCCUCAUUCCUGAUAUUCACCACCAGCAGUGAGAAACACCUAUUACAGUUGCUGCUUCGUCUGUGCAUUUGCACUUCUGCCAACCGUCUGUACUGCUUUUACAUCGUAUCCAGAGGUCGAAGUUGUGGGUGUUAUUGGAGGUUCUGUUGUCUUGCGGUGUGCCUCAAAUAAAAGUCAACACAAUCUUCAACAAAUGAAUGUGAGAUGGAGACACAAUGACAGCGUGAAAGUGUGUGAAAUCAUUGAAGGAAAAUGUUCAGUAGAAUAUCAAGAGUCAGACUACGGAAACAGAGCUGAAGUUUUCCCAGAGGAGUUUGUGUACGGAAACUUCUCCCUCAAACUCAACAAUCUUAGACACACUGAUGCAGGAAAAUACCAGUGCUACAUCCAACAUUCAUCUGAACUUGUGACCAUACAGCUGUUCAUCAAUGAAUCAGCAGCAACAAAGAAACUACCAAUACCAAAAGACAACACAAGAAGAAGAUACCUAAUGCUGAUUAUAGUAUUAUCUUCUCUGCUUUUUUCAUGUUUUUUUAUUUUUUAGUGUAGUAUUGCACUAAAUUGAUGAAUCGUGUUGAUAGUGGUGGCCAGUGACUUCUUUUUUCAACGGCUUUCGAUGCGAAGUUCGUCACAACAUCUAUGUAAUCCAUAUGUAGUCAUGUAUGUGGUUCGUAAAUUCAAAAUAUGUGUUCGGCGGUUUUGACGCAUGUGCAGACAAAAAACUGAAGUACUGAUGCAGCGGUUGUUAAGCUGAACUACUAAACAUAAGUUACUUAGAAACCAAACGCACAAAAUCCAUCAAUCAUUAUGAAAAUGUAAAAAAAAAUGGCUAACCAUAAUGCUAACAAUCUCUAGUCACAACUCUUCCAGCAUUUUUCCUCUAUCACGACUCUUCCUCUAUUCUGAAUUAUCUUGUUUCAUAAAGGUUUAAUUUAUUUACCAUCAUGUCUAAGAUACUUCACUACACCAAUAGUCCUAGUAUAUCUUUUAUGGUUUAUAACAGUAUUUUUGUCCAGUUUAAAUUAAUUGUGUGACACACGCUUCCUACUGGUUUGUACUGCUGUCUUUUUUUGUCUUGGCUGCCUGUUUUUUAGUCCACAGAUCAAACCUCCUCACUUCCUCAACUUUCUCUAAGAAAAUUUCAAUACCAAAUUAAUAGUGACGUUUAGUAAGACUUGAAGAGUUUUGCAACUAUUUUGUUGCACAUUAUCUGAUUUGUUACAUGAAAAAUGUGAAUGACUGUAUUUUGAUUACUGUGGCUUUCAAGAGCAGUUGAAAGUAUUAUAUUUAUGAGUACUGAGCAUAUGACCAAGCACAGGUAUAUCUACAAACUCAAGAUGAUCUCUUAGUUGAAGGGUUGUGAUGCUGGUUUAUUAUUUUAACACUGCAUUUUAACAUC